GGUUGUCAUAAAAUAAGCAGAAAGAACAUUACCAAACAACAUUUUCUAAGCCGUCAACUGUAAAAUAUCAUAUUGUAUUAAUUGACAGUAAAAUAAUCAAUGAAAACAUAUUGGAGCCAUGGAAAUUUCCAGCUUCUGUGUGGAUUCAACGCAACUGGUUAAUAUAAAUAUAAACAAGAAUGGAGGUAUGCCUGUUGUUCAACAAAUAAAGAGUUUAAACACUUGCUGUAAAAAGGACUAUACAAUUCGUCUAAUCUUCUCCAAAUUUAUUAGUUCAAUGACUUGUGGGGAUGCUUUAUACAACCACAACACCUACAUGGACAAGGGUAUAUUCAACAAGUCUAUUACAAUUCCCUAUAGGAACAAAAAAUUCAACGGGUAAUUUUCUUGUCAGCACCAAAAAUGCAUCUUACAAUCAGUAAGCUACACUACCAUACGCAUGCAUAUUCUAUAUAAAAAAUGUAUAUACAUAUCAUGAAGUUAACUGAUGGAAUGGAAGGACUACAAAUUUGUAAUUCGCCCACAAAGGAUCAACUUCUAAGGUUAGGGGAAGAGAAGAAAAGGUGGGAAGCAAAUAUCGAACACAUAAAUUUAUGAAACUAAGCACGCAUAGAUGGCAUGCACAAUAGUAAAGACGCUGUACUUCAAAAGAAAAUUUGUGAUGACCAAUGCAAAAGCAGGCCUGCUAUUUUCCUUAACUGAACAGGUGAAAACAAGAGCUAAGUCUCAAUACGUAGAAAAGAGAUUUUGAUUAAGGGCUAAAGAAAAUCACACAAUAUUAUGCAAUUCUAAGAGCACAGCUAAGAUUUAAAAGCAAGCUUAUUGGAAAAAUAGUAUUUAUAUAAACAGUAGGUAGUUAACAGGAGGCAGAAAAAAGGAGAAGAGGUUUUCCAUUCUCUCACAUUGCCAACAAACACAGAACGAGAAUCCGCUUCCUCCUUAUUUGCUUGGUUAGCAGCAGCACUAGCUGGAUCUUGAACAGCGCCCAUCUCCUUCUCAACCUUAGCUUGCAUCUCGCGAAGAGCCGCCGCUUCCUCCUCCAUCUCCUUCAACCUCUUCUUCAUCUCAUCCAGCUCCUGCAACAUUACACCCACAUAGAGUGGUGAUAAUCAUAAAUCAAUACAAGAAAGUUAAGUAAAUAGCUUUUCGAAUAUAGAAACAUCUAAGAUCGAUUAAAUCACUAGGGUUUUUAUCGUCUCUAUGCAAAAUUCAAACUGAAAGAGAUAGGACCUUGACGGCGUCUUCAUCGGCGGCGGACAUGUCGACGUCGGCGUUGUGAGAGUCCAUAUCGCCUUCCACGUCAGGAAUCUCCCCCCCGUACACCUCAUGCUCUUCUUCCUCCAUAUCUGUGGCUCCGAUUAGAUGUUUCCAGAAGCAAGAAAAU
rnacentral:misc_RNA from 1 species